UACAGAGGGUGCAAGCGUUGUUCGGAAUUAUUGGGCGUAAAGCGCGUGUAGGCGGCUCGGUAAGUCUGCUGUGAAAGUCCAAGGCUCAACCUUGGAAAGCCGGUGGAUACUGUCGAGCUCGAGUCCGGAAGAGGCGAGUGGAAUUCCUGGUGUAGCGGUGAAAUGCGCAGAUAUCAGGAGGAACACCAAUGGCGAAGGCAGCUCGCUGGGACGGUACUGACGCUGAGACGCGAAAGCGUGGGGAGCAAACAGG
rnacentral:rRNA from 1 species